rnacentral:rRNA from 1 species
AGGGGAGUGAAAUAGAACCUGAAACCCUGCACUUACAAGCUGUGGAAGCACAUUUCUUGUGUGACCGCGUACUUUUUGUAGAACGGGCCAACGAGUUACGUUAAGUAGCAAGGUUAAGCACUUAAGGUGCGGAGCCGUAGCGAAAGCGAGUUUUAACUGAGCGUUCAGUUACUUGACGUAGACCCGAAACCGGGCGACCUACCCAUGAGCAGGAUGAAGCGAAAGUAAAAUUUCGUGGAGGUCCGAACCCACGAGCGUUGAAAAGCUCGGGGAUGACUUGUGGGUAGCGGUGAAAUUCC